AGAGCUGCCUGACACAGUCCAACACCCUCCCAAAUUUUGCCCCAUCGCCCAAACUUAAAAUCCAGGAUUUUUUCCCCAUAUUUGACCAAAAAAAACCGGAUUUGGCUGAAAACUUGAAUUUUCAUUUAGGAUUUGUCUGAAAAACUGGGAUUUUCCCCCAUUUUUACCUUUCCCACCUAUUUUUGGUACCUAGAGCUGCCUCACACCACCCAACAUCCUCCCAAAUUUUGCCCCAGUGCCCAAACUGAAAAUCCGGGAUUUUUCCCCAUAUUUGACAUUAAAAAAAAGACGGAUUUAUCCAAAAAACCGGGAUUUUCCCCAUUUUUACCUUUCCCACCUAUUUUUGGUACUUACAGGUGCCUCAAACAACCCAACACCCUCCCAAAUUUUUCCCCAUCGCCCAAACUGAAAAUCCUUGAUUUUUCCCCAUAUUUGUCAUUAAAAAAAAAGACAGAUUUAUCCAAAAAACCGGGAUUUUCCCCCAUUUUUACCUUUCCCACAUAUUUUUGGUGCCUAGAGCUGCCUCACACCACCCAACACCCUCCCAAAUUUUGCCCCAUCGCCCAAACUGAAAAUCCGGGAUUUUUCCCCAUAUUUGACCAAAAAAAAGAAGAAUUUGGCUGAAAACUUGGUGUUUCAACUGGAAUUUGUCCAAAAAACCGGGAUUUUCCCCCAAUUUUACCUCUCCCACAUAUUUUUUCCACCUAGAGCUGCCUGACACAACCCAACACCCUCCCAAAUUUUGCCCCAUUGCCCAAACUGAAAAUCCGGGAUUUUUUCCCCAUAUUUGACCUUAAAAAAAAGACAGAUUUAUCCGAAAAAUUCGUUUUUUUUCCCAAAUUUUACCUCUCCCAUGUAUUUUUUCCACCUAGAGCUGCCUGACACAGUCCAACACCCUCCCAAAUUUUGCCCCAUCGCCCAAACUUAAAAUCCAGGAUUUUUUCCCCAUAUUUGACCAAAAAAAAGAAGGAUUUGGCUGAAAACUUGGUGUUUCAUCUGGAAUUUGUCCAAAAAACCGGGAUUUUACCCCAAUUUUACCUCUCCCACAUAUUUUUUCCACCUGGAGCUGCCUGACACAACCCAACAUCCUCCCAAAUUUUGCCCCAUCGCCCAAACUGAAAAUCCGGGAUUUUUCCCCAUAUUUGACCAAGAAAAAAAAGGAUUUUGGUGAAAACUUGCAUUUUCAUUUAGGAUUUGUCUGAAAAACUGGGAUUUUCCCCCAAUUUUACCUCUCCCACAUAUUUUUUCCACCUAGAGCUGCCUGACACAACCCAACACCCUCCCAAAUUUUGCCCCAUCGCCCAAACUGAAAAUCCAGGAUUUUUUCCCCAUAUUUGACCAAAAAAAAGAAGAAUUUGGCUGAAAACUUGAAUUUUCAUUUAGGAUUUGGCUGAAAAACUGGGUUUUUCCCCAUUUUUACCUCUCCCACCUAUUUUUCCCACCUAGAGCUGCCUCCCACCGCCCAACACCCUCCCAAAUUUUGCCCCAUCGCCCAAACUGAAAAUCCGGGAUUUUUCCCCAUAUUUGACCAAAAAAAAAAAGGAUUUUGGUGAAAACUUGAAUUUUCAUUUAGGAUUUGGUUCAAAAACUUGGAUUUUUCCCCAUUUUUACCUCUUCCAUGUAUUUUUUGUCACCUAGAGCUGCCUCACACAGCCCAACACCCUCCCAAAUUUUGCCCCAUCGCCCAAACUGAAAAUCCGGGAUUUUUUCCCCAUAUUUGACAUUAAAAAAAAGACAGAUUUGUCCAAAAAACCGGGAUUUUCCCCAUUUUUACCUUUCCCACAUAUUUUUGGUGCCUAGAGCUGUCUGACACAGCCCAACACCCUCCCAAAUUUUGCCCCAUCGCCCAAACUGAAAAUCCGGGAUUUUUUCCCCAUAUUUGACCAAAAAAAAAAAUGGAUUUGGCUGAAAACUUCAAUUUUCAUUUAGGAUUUGGUUCAAAAACUUGGAUUUUUCCCCAUUUUUACCUUUCCCACGUAUUUUUGGUGCCUAGAGGUGCCUCACACAACCCAACACCCUCCCAAAUUUUUCCCCAUCGCCCAAACUUAAAAUCCUUGAUGUUUCCCCAUAUUUGUCAUUAAAAAAAAGACAGAUUUAUCCAAAAAACCGGGAUUUUCCCCAUUUUUACCUCUUCCAUGUAUUUUUUGUCACCUAGAGCUGCCUCACACAACCCAACACCCUCCCAAAUUUUGCCCCAUCGCCCAAACUGAAAAUCCGGGAUUUUUCCCCAUAUUUGACCAAGAAAAAAAAGGAUUUCGGUGAAAACUUGAAUUUUCAUUUAGGAUUUGGUUCAAAAACUUGGAUUUUUCCCCAUUUUUACCUCUCCCACAUAUUUUUUCCACCUAGAGCUGCCUGACACAACCCAACACCCUCCCAAAUUUUGCCCCAGUGCCCAAACUGAAAAUCCGGGAUUUUUCCCCAUAUUUGUCAUUAAAAAAAAAGACAGAUUUAUCCAAAAAACCGGGAUUUUCCCCCAUUUUUACCUCUCCCACAUAUUUUUCCCACCUAGAGCUGCCUGACACAACCCAACACCCUCCCAAAUUUUGCCCCAUCGCCCAAACUGAAAAUCCGGGAUUUUUCCCCAUAUUUGACCUUAAAAAAAAGACAGAUUUAUCUGAAAAAUUGGUAUUUUUUCCCAAAUUUUACCUCUCCCAUAUAUUUUUCCCACCUAGAGCUGCCUGACACAGUCCAACACCCUCCCAAAUUUUGCCCCAUCGCCCAAACUUAAAAUCCAGGAUUUUUUCCCCAUAUUUGGCCAUAAAAAAAACGGAUUUGGCUGAAAACUUGAAUUUUCAUUUAGGAUUUGUCUGAAAAACUGGGAUUUUCCCCAAUUUUACCUCUCCCACAUAUUUUUCCCACCUAGAGCUGCCUCACACAACCCAACACCCUCCCAAAUUUUUCCCCAUCGCCCAAACUGAAAAUCUGGGAUUUUUCCCCCAUAUUUGACAUGAAAAAAAAAGACAGAUUUGUCCAAAAAACCGGGAUUUUCCCCCAAUUUUACCUCUCCCACAUAUUUUUUCCACCUAGAGAUGCCUCACACGGUCCAACAUCAUCCCUGAUUUUUCCCCAUCGCCCAAAUUGAAAAUCCGGGAUUUUUCCCCAGAUUUGACCAAAAAAAAUAAACGGAUUUGGCUGAAAACUUGAAUUUUCA
ensembl:lncRNA